rnacentral:lncRNA from 1 species
GGGGGUAAUUAGUGCUACAUCAAAUUAAUUAAGGGUUUUGAAUUUGCAAAAGGGGCGAUAAUUGACUUCAAAUCAAAGUAUAAGAAUGAGGGAAUUUGUAAGCAUAUUUUAUAAUUUUGUCAAAUAAAUCAGUAAACGCAAGCCAGAUGAGAAAAUAGAGUAAUCAAAAGUUAGAAUCGUCUCAUCCUGAUCUGAACACAAACCCAAUGCUAUAGCAAAUUCAACUCAUUAGCUACUUAUAAUAUUUAAUAUGAAAAUAAAUAGAAAUAAUUAACCUGAAAAGGGCAUCCAAGGCCCAAACUUCCACACAAGGGUAAAAACUUCAAACAAGCAAAUAAGAGAGAGGAUAUGCAAAGGGGGAGAAGGAAAUUAAACAAGCUGCGUCCAAAACCAGAUUCAUAUCAAAUUAAAGAAGCUACCAAGAAAGGGAAGAUAUAUACUAU